rnacentral:misc_RNA from 1 species
AAGUCGUAACAAGGUAACCGUAGGUGAACCUGCGGAAGGAUCAUUAACACUUAAUGAAUCCAAAACCCUUUGGAUCAACCAACCUUUUGUACGAACCCGUUUCCCUUCCGGUUGCAUUUUGUUUAUCCACGCUUCGCGGCUGGGUAAAUACUUGCAGCCCGUACCCUGUCUUUUCAAUUUUCCUAAACGAUUUUGAUCUUAACUGACUGAAACUUGGGCUUUGGACACUCUCGGGUGUUCAAACCCCAUAAACAUAAAACGCGAAACAACUCUUAACAACGGAUAUCUUGGCUCUC